CGCGAGGAUCUGCGUGCCUGGCUUUGAUGCGGGGAUGCCCUUCGUAUGAUUAGACUGGAACUAAGUAGCCUGGAACAAACACCCUAAUCAGGGAGCAGGGAGCUCACGGAUGUCAGGAGAACAGGGCACGGUUUUCCACGGGAUGUGCCAAAACCAUGGUCAAAGGAAGUCAGCGAAGGCAAACUGUUUCUCACUUGGAGCUUGCCUCACUGUGAUGGCUCAUGAGGGACUCCCAAGAAGGCAGCCAACUCUGUGCAGUCCAUUCUGCAGGCCUGGAGUGCUGUUGGAUGAUCCUGAUGUCAAAGUGGGAGGUCCCUGUGGGAGGCGAGUGUGAGGGAAGUCAUCUCGGGUGGGUAAGUGGGUUUGCUAAUCAGGUUUCAAAGUGGAGAGAAGGGUGAGGGUGUAUCAGGGACCUUUAAAAAUUUAUACCCGGUCUGCCACUUAGAGGCACCUCUAAGAGGCACCAUCCUGGUGUCUUGGUGGGCUUCCUCUCUUGUUUCUUUCCCUGGCCUCUUAAGAACACGCACACCUGGGCAUGGUGGCUCAUGCCUGUAAUCCUAGCACUUUGGGAGGCUGAGGUGGGCGGAUCACUGAGGUCAGGAGUUUCAGACCAGCCAGGCCAAAAUGGUGAAACCUUGUCUCUACUAAAAAUACAAAACUUAGCUGGGGGUGGUGGCACGUGCCUGUAAUUCCAGCUACCUGGGAGGCUAAGGCAGGAGAAUCGCUGGCACCCGGAAGGCGGAGGCUGCAGUGAGACAAGAUCACCCCACUGCAGUUCAGCCUGGGUAACAGAGCGAGCCUCCAUCUCAAAAAAAAAAAAAAAAAAAAAAAAAGAGAAAAAAGAAAACACACACAUACGCACAACUUGAAGGUGACUGUGGGAGCCUGCCUGACUUAGGCUGAGUCCUGCAAAAUCCCACACAACGUGAAAGUAAAAUUGAGGCAGUUGUCAAUUAUUUAACGAACCUAAUGUGUUCUGACCCAGCGUUCCAGGCCAAGGUGUUCUGACCACACAAUGUCUGCAAGGUGGGGACAGUUGAUUACCAUCAUAUCGUCACUGUCACCAGCACAAGAGGACAACCCUGCAUCAGACAUGCCAUUGACCAGUGCAGUUCCCUUUGAUUUGUUCUCCUUCUUCCCAGCAUAGUUCCUGAACAUACAUGUCAAAUAAGUGUUUGUAAGUUCCAUGAAUUACAUAUUGAAAUUGUUAUCACUGCUAAGUCCACUAUAACAAACAAUACUGAUUAUAGAGCAGGAAUAUAUUUUGUAAUUAUAAUGUUCUUCAAACUUCUCUGAUCGACACACAGCAUAUUUAAACAGGGAUGAUCAAAAAUUAUGUGCACAGUGCGGUCCUUGUCUUCCCUUGGGCAGCACAAAAGCUCUCCUCAGUAGGUAACAGCCACCAGCCAGCCUUUGAGCAGCUGUGUCGAGAUGGAUUCAGUUUCUUUGCUGAGGGGGGGAUGCGGGGGAAGACACCCCUGCUUUUAAAUCAAAGACAAUUCAGUUUGGAGAAAGGUGUACCUUCUGGAAAUAAAUAAAAGGAGGCGCAGUGUAUUGUCAGCUGGCCGUCUUAAAUCAAUAAUGCAGGCAGUCUGUCUUGCAUGCCCAUUCUGUUGUGAGGGGGAGGAGCACCUGCCUAUAGGCUGGUCCCGAAAUAAAAGCCCUCGUCGGGAGAUGUCCAGGGGUGCAAGUGAGUCUUGCUCUGCUCUUCAAGGCCUUUCCGGAGCCAGGCUGGCAGUGUGCCUGUCAGGGGUCUGAGGAUGUUAAUGUCCUUUACAUCCAGAUCACAUCAAUCUGCGUCCAUUAUUUUACCAGGCAGGGACACCUGGAUGGGAAGCUCUAUUUUCUUUGAAUGGCCUCUGGCUUAUAAAACAAAACCAGCAAAGAGCACGUAAUCCCUUUGAGUAUUUGAGUUUUUGAGUGCCAGGUACUGUGAGAAGACUCUUGGUUGAAAAAAAAAAUUAAAAAAAAAAAAAAGGAAGGCAGCAUUUUUAAAUCAUCUUCUUUGUUUACAAAGUGGUGACAUUCAGUCUUGAAUCAAAGGGAACAGUUUCCAGGUAGAAAAGUCUCAUGUUUGUUUUCUGUCAGCUACCAACUACCAGCACGUCUUUCCUCCAAACUUUGUGCAAAAUCAACUUACCUUGAUUUAAGCCACAAAGAAAAAGACUUGGGGGUAGAAAGGGUGGGAAAGGGGGAAGCUUUUAAGAGAUUAUCCUUUUGGAGUCUUGAUAGAUUAAGAGGGUGAUCAAACUUGGCAGCAUCUUAAUAAUAGGGACACGUGAAUUUUGGCUAGGCUAAUGGAAGCUCUUUUGUCAAUUUCCUGUAACCGUGCUUGACAGGACUCAGGAAAUGGCACGACUGGCCCACCUUUGAUACCUAGAAGGGGCUUAAUGAGAUUUAAAGGUGCGGCACCAUGACUGGAGUUUCCCACAUUAGGUGUAAGUUACACAAAAAGUCCUUCUAUGUACCAGUCCCUUGCUGGCUUUGUCGCCUGCUUGCCGCAAUUCAGAAUGUGUUUUUUCUAUAGAAGUAACAGCUGAAAGCCGGGCAGCUGAGUUUCUGAACAGAAAUUGUUUUUCUAAAAAGACUUUUUUUUUUUUUGGUUUGGUUCCAUUCAGGACUGUGUCUCUGAAAUAUUAUCUAUCGUAAAAAACAUGACAUGAAUUUACCAUGGCAGUCAGCUGCAAUUUUUAAAUAUAUUCGUUAGGUUAGUGAGUAACGUCUUCCCUUCCCAAAAGACACGGAUGAAGAGCGGGAACAUCAGACUGUUAUGUCUUGGGGGUAGAUAAGUGGGCGAGGCCAUGCCAGGACAUGUGAGCCCAGAUGGGGCCCACACGUUUCUGAUGGAAUAUUUGAGCUGGAAGUAUUUAACGUGAAAGAUCCUGCCUCCAGGACCACUUGGUCAGCCGUAAAGGGGCUGGGAGUCAUGAUGUGUCCACAUAUGUUUGCUAUGUCAGACUGAGGGUGGAGCUGCCCAGGCAGGGUGUGGGGGUUACAAAGUCAGUCUUGCUAGCCUUUUAUUAUUGUGGCUCUUCGGGGGACCUCAAGGCAAGCUAAAAGGUUUGUCUCUGGCAGCUGUCCUGGUGAGGCUGUGCUGGAAUAGAAUAGACACCACUUAAAGUGGGUGGGAAAUGUCCUUAGACUCCUGUUCAUUUUGUUACCUGUCUGACCCUGUGGGCAUUGGGCUUGGUUCCCUGCAUGCAGGAAGCUCCUCUGCCAGCCAAAAGGCUAGAGAUCUUCCGCCACACCACCUUCUAAGCAUGACUCAGCUCCCUAGGAAGCUGCCAGCCAAGACUUGAAUGACCUUCCUAAGCUCUUUUUGAAUUCUGGCCCUUUUACUAAGGGUUAAAGAUGAACUUGACAUUACCAUGUCUCUUGCUCAUACUAAGUAAAACCUGAAAAUAUGACCCUGAACUUCUCCAGUCUGGUGGCCAUGGUACCCUGCCUUAUGACCAAGAAGAGAUCUUGAGAAGGGUGCUUCCAGCUUCCAAAUUGGGCAGCAAAAUGUUUACAUUCCCAAAAGGAUCAAGGCCUGAACUUCCUAGAAGCCAAGCUGACAAGCACAUGGAUUGAUAUUUAAAGGGGGCAAAGCUUCUAGGAAUAGUUAAAAUGAACUUUCAUGUGAUGCAGCAUCCAUAUUUUAGUUUAGAAUUGUCCACAGAUGCACUUAAGGAAUCAAUGAGAAUGAGUGGAACUGAUAGGCCUUGUGAGAGUUCAAGUUUUUUUGUUUUACCUCAUCUGCCUUAUAAGAAUGUAUGGUUUCUCUUUUUCCUGUCUUAUGCUUGUGAUUUAUAAAUAUCAGACUCCCUUUUGCCACCAUUGGCCUGGCAUCAGCCAACAUUUCUCCUAGGUAACCUGGGUUUUCCUUCCGUGGUAUUCAAGGUACCACUUGGGAGAAAUCAAAUAUAAACUGAUCUAUUUUAUAGAUAGGUGUGUAUUUUAAAAUGCUACCUGUUUAAAAUAUUUGCAAAUAGAAGUUAUUGAAAUGCUCACACAUGGCUCCUAAAAAUGUGUGAAGGGCCAGGUAAAGUUGGAGGUUGCAUAUUCAGGAGACCCAGGAGGAAGCUGGCUGGUGUGGCUUUGGGCCAGGGGCUGCUGGUUGCACCAGCUUUGAUGAAGACCAUCACAUGAGCUUGGCUUAAAUACCAGUGCCACAAUUUAGUAACUGUGUAACUUGGAAAAAUCAAUUAGUCCUUUCCGAGUGGUGGUGUCCUUAGCUAUGAAAUGGAGAUAAUACCAACCUUAUAAGAUUGCUUUGAGAGACUCUUAAAGUUUUGGCCAUGAAGCACAG
ensembl:lncRNA